rnacentral:rRNA from 1 species
UAUGUGAUCGUCUCUCGCAUAUCAAUAAGCGGAGGAAAAGAAACUAACAAGGAUUCCCCUAGUAACGGCGAGUGAAGCGGGAAGAGCUCAAAUUUGAAAUCUUAAAGGGUUUCCCUUUACGAAUUGUAGUUUAAAGAAGUGUUUUCUGUUGAGGUUUUGGUAAAAGUUCUUUCGGAAUAGGACAUCAUAGAGGGUGAGAAUCCCGUAUUUGACCUUUACUUUCAACUUUGUGAUACACUUUCAAAGAGUCGGAUUGUUUGGGAAUGCAGUCCAAAAUGGGUGGUAAAUUUCAUCUAAAGCUAAAUAUUGGCGAGAGACCGAUAGCGAACAAGUACCGUGAGGGAAAGAUGAAAAGAACUUUGAAAAGAGGAGUUAAACAGUACGUGAAAUUGUCAAAAGGGAAGCGUUUGACACCAGUGUUGUUUUUCUGAAAAUCAAUUAAAGAACUGUUUAUGCUAAGCUGUUUAGACUUUAUCAGCUAAUCUGUUUAGUUUUGAGCUUUUCUUUAAUGCACUUUUCAGUUAACAAGUCAACAUCAAUUUCUUUUGCUGUAAAAAAGCUUGAGGAAGGUGGCUUGAGAUUCGUCUUAAGUGUUUAUAGCCUCUUGCCUAUGCAGUCGGAGAGAUUGAGGUCUGCAGCGUAGAUCCUUCGGGGCUAAAUGCAUUUGUGCUAAGUUAUAGCAUUUUAUAGACAACUUGUUGACUAUGAUUUGUCUUGUAGCUUACUCGCUUAUGUUAUUUUACCUACGCUUAGGAUGUUGAGUAGCGACAUACGCAC